rnacentral:lncRNA from 1 species
CAGGGAAUUGGAGUGAUUAGACUGAAAAUGUUUGAUAAUCAUGAGAUGUUGUUACAAGGAGUGAGGUAUGUUCCAGAACUGAAAAUGUCAGAACUGUUGCAGCGGAAUUGUUAGCGUGGAAUAACAAACCAAGAGGGUUUUUAAUACAAACGUGUGCCUUUCAAUUUCUACUCAAUUUAACUUACUACGCAAAUAAUAAAUAUAAAUAAAAGAGUAAGGUUGAGAGAAAUUUGCAUAGAUAAUUUUUAUACUGGUUCGGAUCUUGCCAAUCCUACGUCUAGUCGCUUAUCUCAAAUCAAGAUAAACAAUUCACUAAGCACAAAACAAUUACAAACUACAUUUACAAAGAAACAAUUUGUAAAAGUUUAGAAACCACCUCUCUUGAUACCACAAGAGAUGAAACUGCACCUCCUUUGAAUCUUCACAAAGGAUGAACCACCUCCUCCGAAUACUUCACGAAGGAUGACCCUCUUCCACACACCUCCUUAGACGCACCAAGGAUGAACCAGCUAUUCCUCCGCCACCAUAGUAGCAAUGUACCA